UACGUAGGGUGCAAGCGUUGUCCGGAACUAUUGGGCGUAAAGAGCUCGUAGGCGGUCUGUCGCGUCGGAUGUGAAAAUCCAGGGCUCAACCCUGGACCUGCAUUCGAUACGGGCAGACUAGAGUUCGGCAGGGGAGACUGGAAUUCCUGGUGUAGCGGUGAAAUGCGCAGAUAUCAGGAGGAACACCGGUGGCGAAGGCGGGUCUCUGGGCCGAUACUGACGCUGAGGAGCGAAAGCGUGGGGAGCGAACAGG
rnacentral:rRNA from 1 species